ACUCCCGCCCUUUUUCACUGCAGCUGGGAACUUCACACUCUCUCCCACAAUGCCGUUCAGCUCCACAGACUGGCCAAACACACUCACUGCUGAAGCCACAGAGACAAGCCUCCAUCAGCGAGGAGCACAAGCACACUCAUCAUCCCCCCAGUGCCCCCCCCCCCCCCCCCAUCCAUACGCAGACUGGCAGAGGUGACCUGCUGGACUCUCACCUGCAUCAGUGAGUGAACCUGUCAGCACUCAGCCGAAGGGAAGAGGAAGAAAUAACCAAACCACUCUAACCUGACUCUCUACACUUCUCUGCAGAGUUAGUGGGAAACUCUCUACAUUCCUCUGCAGAGUUAGUGGGAAAUCCAGGCUCAGAAAGUAAAAGUCCUCCCCAGUAAUUUGUUCCAAUCAUCUGGAUGUGCGAAUUAGCACAGUGUGCAAAACGGUGAUGUGAAUAAUGAGAUGGAUUUAGGAAUUGUUACCCAAGAGUUCCUCUGGAUAAGUUUAGCUUCUGGUAACUGCUUAAAUAUAAAAGUUAAACACCAUUUUGUGUUAAUUUAUUUUACUGUACUGGUGUAAGGUGCAUAUUGGAUGAUGUUUUUAGGUUGGUAAAAGACCUGAAAAUGCACCAGCCUCCCUGCUCAAACUUCUCAUCCUUCAUUGUGCUGCUAAAUCACCCUUUUCCCCUUGGGACCCAGGGCUCUGGUCAUAAUACAGGGAAGAGGCUCUCUACCUCCCCCUCCUCCCCCUCUCCCUUCUUCCUCUCUCACAUGCAGCUCUUCUUUCAACAUUCAGUUUCUACAUCCUGUUUGCAGCUUUGAUUCUUCUUCACA